UACGUAGGGUGCAGGCGUUUAAUCGGAAUUACUGGGCGUAAAGCGUGCGCAGGCGGUCUGUUUAAGAGAGAUGUGAAAUCCCCGGGCUUAACCUGGGAACUGCGUUUCUAACUGGCAGGCUUGAGUGUGGCAGAGGGGGGUGGAAUUCCACGUGUAGCAGUGAAAUGCGUAGAGAUGUGGAGGAACACCGAUGGCGAAGGCAGCCCCUGGGUCAAGAUUGACGCUCAUGCACGAAAGCGUGGGGAGCAAACAGG
rnacentral:rRNA from 1 species